rnacentral:rRNA from 1 species
UACAGAGACUGCAAGCGUUUAUUCGGAUUCACUGGGCGUAAAGGGCGCGCAGGCGGCUGCUCAAGUCAGGCGUGAAAGGCCUGGGCUCAACCCGGGAAUUGCGCUUGAGACUGGGCUGGCUUGAGUGCGGGAGAGGUGAGUGGAAUUCCCAGUGUAGAGGUGAAAUUCGUAGAUAUUCGCAAGAACACCAGUGGCGAAGGCGGCUCACUGGCCCGGUACUGACGCUGAGGUGCGAAAGCGUGGGAGCAACAGG